UGAGUUGAAAUCAUAAAUAGCUAACCUCUAGAAGAAGGACAUCUUAACAUUAAUUGGGGGAGGAAAUACAAAUAAGGAAGAGUGGAGAAACCCCCACCGAAUAUUAGACAUGAUAACGUCAGUAUAACACAUUAUAAAAGUGGCAUCCCAGACUGUGGGCAGUAAGAGAGAGAAAGAUGUGGCCCUUGGGAAGGGCCAGAAUGAUGGCCACUGGUGAAGAUGAGGAAGGUGAUGGUGAUGAGGAAGAUAAUGGCUAACACUUCAGGUUGUUCUGCAAGGGAUGGUAAUCUUCAGGAUAGUAACGAAGGCUACAUUGAAUUCUAUGGCAAGAACACUGCUCCUUGACUGAUAAAGCAGUUGAACAACCAUCCACAGUGAAGUGGCUGCCUUUCACAGAAUUUAAGGGAACUGAAUAAAGAGCUGCGAUAAAGUUCCCAUGGUUAUCAUGGUAAUCAAGCAGAAACUCUGGCUUCUACAUCACUGUCAAGAUGUGCCAUCUGUUUGGCUGAGGUCAGCUUUUGCAGAAGUGUGUUACCUGAUUCCAUGUCCUAAAAUCUACCUAUGUUUGUACCAUCUGAAGAAGUGUAACACAAAUGGGCAAGUGACUAAACACAAUGAAAAUAAAGAAGAAUAAUUCCCAACAGAAGAGCACUGCUUAUUAAGGUCUACUGCUUAUUAUGACAACACAGUUAAUCAGCAACUUGAAGUCAGUGUGAUGCUAUGCAAAAAACGCAGGGACAUAGUGGAAUGUCUCUCUUCACUGACAAACACAAAAAAUGACAACCCCCCUGGGCAGAAUGUCCCUAAUGAACACAGUGUUGACAUUAAAAUGUGACAGGAUGACAGACAGAAUGGUAUGAAA